UUCUAUUGUUUCCAUAUUGGCAAAUACAACACCUACUUGGUUGCAAUCAACUACCAAAGCCCAAUCACUUCGAAAAAAUCUGCGUAUUAUAAAAUAUAUUAGUAUACUUCAUCAUUCGGAGGUCUUCGAAUCGUGUGACUGUACUUUUCGUGGAUGGGAUCAUUUAAUAUUUUUACUAAAUGAUCUAGUGAGCUGGGAAGAGGGGAUCGCCUACAACGUCGCUGUCUUGUAAGCCUGUGUUCUGUUUGAAGAUAUGUAUAGUUUUCUGCUGCUUCAGGGUGACUACAAUUUCAAUUUUUAAGAACAAUGAAAUGUAUUAUUGUUUCAUGGUUAUACUUACUUGACAAUUUCCUGAUUGUACACUAAUCUAACAGAAGAGGAUAAAUUUCCAGGUGACUAUGGAUAUGCUUCCGGUUUAAUGACAGGUAACCUGGAUUGUUCAAGUUAACACUAGCUGUAGCAAGGCAAAAUGGCCAAUCAUAAUGAUUUUUUCUGUGGCAAACUAAAUAUCUUUAAGAACAUAAAAGAUAAAGGAGUAUAGACAAACGGUUUCGUACAGAACUUUUUUUAUAGUACUUAAAAUUUAAGUUGUCCACAUAAACUUGAGAUCCAACCUGAACUCCUGGAAUUAUGGUGUAAGUCUCGGGAUUUUGUUCUACUGGAACUAUGUUAUUUAAUAUAAUAUUACAAACAAGACAACAGAGGUUCUAAAUUAAUUCACCUUCAUUUUCUCCGUCGGAAAAGACAUCGUCAUCAUCAUCAUCAUCAUCAUCAGACUCGCCACAAUUUAGUGUCUCUACUUCAUCAACAAUGAUGAACAGACAUUGGUCUGGAUACAUAACUAAAUUAGGUGGUAAAUAAUUAAAUUAUUUUAUAACACUUAUAUAUUCUUUUAUAUUAUACAUAUUAUGUUUAAAUAAAUAAAUAAAUAGGUUAUUAAAUGUAAAGAUACCUGGUAAAAAAUAAUCGUGGUCUCGUAAAUGUAAAGGUCUGUCCACUUGUUGAUCAUUCAUUUUUUUAUACAGUUAGAAUAAUAAUUAUUAUACACUUAAACAGUUAGGUUAAGUCAAAAAUGUUUUGCCAAAUAAAGUAUAUAAGUAAUACUUGUCAAUGUAUUAAAAAAAAAAAUCUAAAUAACUCAAAAACGUUGCACUCACUCCAUAUAAAUAACAACAACAGACCAACUAAAAAUAGAACAAAUUGUAUAAUAUGAUAAACUAUAGUUUUUAUCAGCCAUUAUCAAUAUUCUGACAUGGUUAAAUACAAAAAUAUAAUUUUCUGUGUUUUCUGAAAAUGUAUUUUUUAAAAUUAACCAAAGAACUGCCUAGAAUAUUGUUUAAAUUAUUAAAUGUAUUAUCUUCUAAACACUUUAGAUUUUGGCCUGCUAAGUAUUCCAUUACUCAAACAUUACCUGAAUCAUUUAAAAUAAAUUAUCCAAAUUGCAAAAGAAUAAUAGAUUGUACCUAAAAUAAAGUUGAACAGCCAAGUACUGUUGAACAGCUUGUUAAUCAUCAUCAUGUUUGUAUUAUGUAUUAUUAAAUAACAUCAUUAUGUAUCAAAUUAUAUAUUUUUUUAUAAAUACCUAAUAUUUGUAAAUUAUAAUCACCAUAAAUUAUCAAAAAUAUAUAUUACUUUUAAUACAACUAAAUGAGUACAUUUAGAAAAUGAUUUCAACUCGAAUAAAACAAAACUUACAAAUAAAAUAUUAGUUAUACGAAUAAGAUAGGUUAUUAAAAAUAUUGUGCAGCAUCAAAAUUAUCAACCAAUUUUGGUUAAAAAAAAGGACAUUCAAACCACUGCAAUGCAUUAAAAAUUGACAUUUAAUAUAAUAUUCGUGUGUAAUUCUUAAAGUUAAUUUUCCAUUUGUAUUAAAAAAAAGUAUUGCAUAGCAUAAUAAUAUAAUUAUAUUGUCCCCUAGAGUGCGCUGUAUUUAGCGUCUCUAUUCUAGUAAAAUGAAUACUUCGGGGUUUUUUUU